rnacentral:tRNA from 1 species
GCCUCGGUAGCGCAGUAGGCAGCGCGUCAGUCUCAUAAUCUGAAGGUUGUGAGUUCGAUCCUCACCCGAGGCA